rnacentral:rRNA from 1 species
CCAUAAACCAAACUUGCACCUUACACUAGCAACUCGCCAGAGAAUUACAAGUGAAAAACUUAAAACUCUAAGGACUUGACGGUGCCCCAAACCAACCUAGAGGAGCUUGUCCUAUAAUCGAUACUCCACGCCAAACCUUACCCCCUUUUGCCUUUACCCAGCCUAUAUACCGCCGUCGCAAACCUACCUUAUGAAAGAACUGCCGUAAGUAAGAUAGAUAACAUUUAACACGUCAGGUCAAGGUGUAGCAUAUAAGGGGGCAGAGAUGAGCUACAUUUUCUACACUAGAAAACACCACAAGUGACAUGAAACCUUCACCAGAAGGUGGAUUUAGCAGUAAAACAAGCAAGAUAAGCCUGUUUGAAGCCUGCCAUGGGACA